rnacentral:sRNA from 1 species
GGUUAGCCCUGAUGGAAGCGGCAUCCUUGCUUGGAGGGGUUCGCCAAGCAAGAUAUAGCGUACAGCAGGAAAUAGC